GACGUCCCGCCGGGCGGAGUGUCCUCUCACUGGGAGUCCCGGGUCCUGCAGGGCUCCAUCAUGGCGGCGGUGCUGGGCGACCCGACCACGGUCCGGAUCGACCCGGUCACGUUGGCCGCGUUGCAGGAUACAGGCUGGUACACGGUGGACCUGAGCCGGGCUCAGAGUCUGGUCUGGGGAGGCGAUGAAGGAACCACGUUCGGCUCGCUGUCAGCCUGUCACAACAAGUCCUCGUCCUUCUUCUGCACCGGCAGUGGGUUUGGGUGUCACUAUCUUCACCUCCACAAGGGGGAGUGCCAGACCGAUCCGCACCUGGAGGGUUGUCGACUGUAUAAACCCCUUAAGAAUGGAAGUGAAUGUUGGAAAGAGGAAAAUGCAGACAAAGAGCCUUUGAGCGGGGAGCUCUUUGGUUUUCACAGCCGAUGCUUCUUCUCCAACCUGACCAGACAGAACCGGAGUGAGUUUCUCUCGCUCGGCGGCUCCGUGGAGGGCCGUUGUUAUAGACACAGGUGUACGGGACCGAACGGAUACCGGAUCCAGGUGUCGGGCUCUGACUGGGUGGACUGUCCAGCAGGAGGCGCCAUUCAGAUAAAAGGGUACCAGGGUUCGGUCCUCUGCCCCGACCGGAGGUUGUGUCUGUACGCUGACGUCACUCCCCCCGCAGACGCCGUCGGCGCGUCUCCGACUUCCACCACGAGGCAAGUACGACUCUAA
ensembl:lncRNA